rnacentral:rRNA from 1 species
UCGAGAAUCUUCCGCAAUGGACGCAAGUCUGACGGAGCGACGCCGCGUGGCUGAUGAAGUCCUUCGGGACGUAAAAGCCUUUUCCCAGGGAGGAAGUUUUGACGUUACCUGGGGAAUAAGGGGUUGCUAAACUCGUGCCAGCAGCAGCGGUAAUACGAGUGCCCCGAGCGUUAUCCGGAAUUAUUGGGUGUAAAGGGUGUGUAGGCGGUUUUGUUAGUCUCUUGUUAAAUAUCUCGGCUUAACCGGGAAAGGGCAAGGGAAACGGCAAGACUCGAGAGUGCGAGGGGUGAACAGAACUCAUAGUGUAGGGGUGAAAUCCGUUGAUAUUAUGGGGAAUACCAAAAGCGAAGGCAGUUCACUGGCGCAUUUCUGACGCUGAAACACGAAAGCGUGGGUAGCG